ACGCUCGACACCUACAGGAGGCAGCAGUGGGGAAUAUUGCACAAUGGGGGAAACCCUGAUGCAGCGACGCCGCGUGGAGGAAGAAGGUCUUCGGAUUGUAAACUCCUGUUGUUGGGGAAAAAGNGGAUGGUACCCAACAAGGAAGUGACGGCUAACUACGUGCCAGCAGCCGCGGUAAUCUGAGCGGGCUGGCAAGGC
rnacentral:rRNA from 1 species